rnacentral:misc_RNA from 1 species
UGUCAAAUCCCGGCAUCUGACACUUUUGUGGUAGUUUCUUUCUUUGAUCUCCAUAUUCUUCUUUGGGACACUCUCCAUGGUGCAGGAGUCCCAGAUGUUUCUAGCUGAAUAUCCAACUUCGUUGGAUCUAGAGACAACCUUUCUUUAAUAAAAGAAUUCAAAUCAAAGCCACUUCUUAUAGCAUUGGCAUCAUUAUCACUAGAAGGACCACCAUCACUACCAUUUUCACUUUCUCCUGAUAUACUUUUCAAAGAUUCUUGUGUCUUACUGUAUAGGUUCUGAUCCAAGUUCAAGAGUUUCUUUAUGCUGUCAAGUGCUGGAUCAAUGAUGUCUAGAAACCCAAUAACCCAUGAAGCAUCCUCCACAACUUCAGUCCGCUGCUGAAAAUAAAGGUUACGAAUCUCCUCAGCACGAACAGAAUUUCCUUGAUCCUCCUCCAAUUGAGCCCAGGUCAUCCAAGUUAUGUAACUUUGAGAAUUUAUAUUCAAUGAUGAUCUAAAUAGUCUACGAGCU